GACGGAGUCUCGCUCUGUCGCCCAGACUGGAGUGCAGUGGCGCAAUCUCGGCUCACUGCAAGCUCUGUCUUCCGGGUUCAUGCCAUUCUCCUGCCUCAGCCUCCUGAGUAGCUGGGACUACAGGCGCCCGCCAUUACGCCCGGCUAAUUUUAUUUUAUUUUAUUUUUAGUAGAGACAGGGUUUCACUGUGUUAGCCAGGAUGGUCUGUGUCUCCUGACCUCGUGAUCCACCCGCCUCGGCCUCCCAAAGUGCUGGGAUUACAAAAUGCGUGAGCCACCACGCCCGGCUGAUGGUUUUAUUAAUAUAAGGGACUUUAACCCUUUGCUCAGGACUUCUACUUGCUGCUGCCAUGUGAAGAAGGACAUAUUUGCUUCCCCUUUCACCAUGAUUCGGAAAGCCUGUCAUCUGUUGUGAAGGAGAGCUGGUGUUGACUUGAAGCAACAGAGUUGGUGGUCCAGUGGCCAUUGUCCUGUGUUAGGAGCAGGUGGUCUCGCUAAGCUCCAUGUGUUUGGAAAUUUCUCUGACCAGUGCUUGUUCUGCUAAAGGAAGAAGAGCUCAAGCUGCACUCCUUGUUUCCAGGAUCCCAUCCAGAAUACAUUACCUUUAGUCAUCAUGUCUCCUGUGGCUCUUCUUGGCUGUGACAGUUUCUCAGCUUUCCCAGUUUUAAUGAACUUGCCAUUUUCAUCAGAUUGUACCAAGACCUACUAUCAAUAUGACUUAUGACUAGUGGUGCUGACCUUGAUCACCUGGCUGAGGUAGUUCUUGUCAGGCUUCUCCACUGUCGAGUUGCUCUCCCCAUCCCCCUUUUCCAUAUUGUACUCUUUGAAAGAAAGUCACUAUAUGCAGCCCUUCCUUAAAAAUAUUAAAAUGAACUAGCUUAAUUAAGUUCUUUCUUACA
rnacentral:lncRNA from 1 species